GAUGAACGCUGGCGGCGUGCCUAAUACAUGCAAGUCGAGCGAACAGACGAGGAGCUUGCUCCUCUGACGUUAGCGGCGGACGGGUGAGUAACACGUGGAUAACCUACCUAUAAGACUGGGAUAACUUCGGGAAACCGGAGCUAAUACCGGAUAAUAUAUUGAACCGCAUGGUUCAAUAGUGAAAGACGGUUUUGCUGUUACUUAUAGAUGGAUCCGCGCCGCAUUAGCUAGUUGGUAAGGUAACGGCUUACCAAGGCAACGAUGCGUAGCCGACCUGAGAGGGGGAUCGGCCACACUGGAACUGAGACACGGUCCAGACUCCUACGGGAGGCAGCAGUAGGGAAUCUUCCGCAAUGGGCGAAAGCUUGACGGAGCAACGCCGCGUGAGUGAUGAAGGUCUUCGGAUCGUAAAACUCUGUUAUUAGGGAAGAACAAAUGUGUAAGUAACUAUGCACGUCUUGACGGUACCUAAUCAGAAAGCCACGGCUAACUACGUG
rnacentral:rRNA from 1 species